UAUAUCCUUUUGCUAUUUUGAUCUCUUUAUUAUAUAAUUACCUUUUUUUCUCCUUUUUACAGUUUUUGACUUAAAUUGUGAUUGAUCUGAAAUAAAUAUGGCUACUCUUGCUCACUUUUGAUUUCCAUUAAUGUGGAAUGUGUUUUUCCAUCCCUUCACAUUUAGUCUAUGUGUGUCUUUGCGGCUGAACUGAGUUUUUUGUAGGCAGCAUAUAGUCAGUUUUUCUUGUUUUAAAUUCAUUCAGGCCGUCUGUAUCUUUUAAUUGGGAAUCUUGGGAUUAUUUUGCUAUUGAUAUCACAGUCCAGACAUUAAGAUUUUCUCACUUAAGUUGCUUUACACAAAUUAAUAUGAAGAGGAAGUAGAGUUUUUCUUUUGUCCUUUUGAAGAGAGUGAUGGAUUAUUAUUUUGACUUCAUGCAAGUGAGGGACUCACCAUGCCUGUUGGGAUUUUAGAAUUUCUUUCCUGUUAUUAGGAACAGCAAUGAUCUGUAAUGGGUUCCUGGAAUCAUCCAGUGAUGGUCUGAAUAUCUUAAAACUUUCCUUUCAUGUCUCAUUUUCUAUUUCUCCCCUAGUAGCCAUGCACCUGGGGCAGGACCUGGCCUUACAUUUCUUUGGUUUCUUGAUGAUUUUUUAGGUUUAGUGUUUGACACAGUUAGGAGUCUGGAUAAAAUCAGCCCUUCUGGGAAGUGUGUAAGUCAAACAAGGACUUUCUGGUGACGUUAUACAGGUUUCCCAUGCCCCAUGAGUACAGGAAUAGCUCCCUGGGGAAGGAGAAUGGGCACAUGAUGGCAGGGAGCCAUUCUGGGAUGGUCCCAUCGUUCUGCAGGAAUUGUCAUGCAGGAAGAAGAAGCACGUGGUGACUGAGCUGGUAGUGAUUCUGCUGAUAGUUUUGAUCGUUAUGAUUUGCUCCUGAAAGGUGAUGUGGGAUGAACUGCAAUAUUUAGAAUGCUGACAUUCCUUGAAACAAAGAUAUAGAAAAAGGUUUAUAAUUGCAUGAUGCCUUGUAGUUUUCAGCUGCUCUCAUGUGGAUCCUUUUUCGUGCUUCUGAAAUGCUUUCCCAGGAGAGAGCGUUGUUCUUUGUAUAUAGAUGAGGAGCCUGGGUUUCAAAUGGUUAGGAAUUCAGCACACGCAUUGGAAUCUUUAGUUUCCUGGAACAUUUUCUAUUCAAGUAUAGACCACAUGGCCUCUAAAGGCUGGCUCAUUCUUAACACCGCGAUUGGUUAUCCAGCCUCACGUCUGGGGUGGGUGGCAGGAACUCCACAGCCAUCCUGGGUGCUCUGGGGUGGGGUGGCUGAGCUGUGGCAGCUCCUCCCAGCUGAGCAGCAAGGCUGGGGAAAGCUCAUUCCAUUCCCCUUGGUUCUAACCAGGUAGAGGCUUACACUGCACGUUUCCUUAGCUGGGAACCUUUAGAACUUUACAUUUAAAUCUAAUCUGUGAUCCAGGGGGUAGACACAUGGGUAUUCACUGUACAAUUCCUACAUUUUUUGUAUAUUUAAAAAUUUUUUUUUUAUAUGUGUCAUGGACGACAAAAGAAAUGAGACCCCUUUGAGUUAGCUUUUCUGUAUAGCAUCUUCUAGAAUCAGGAGGCUGGACAGGGUUUAGUUUCAUCAGAAAUCUGAAUCUUUCUGGUCAAGAGACGGCACUAUUAAGUUCUUGGUUGUGUGGUUUCUGGGAAAGAAAUAUUCUAAAUGAGUUCCAGGAAUCACCUCUGUGGGAUUUCUACAGGAAAAAUGACCACUCUUGAAGCUUCGCUGUCACUAACAAGAAUAAUGGUGACAGUUUCUAAGCUGUCUCCAGCCAAUCUUUAGUUCUUUUAUGCAGAGUGCUUUUAUUCCAAGUGAGGUGCCCUUCUGUUUAAUAGUGACCUGCAGUUAUUACAGGGACUGCAGCUGCAUUUGAUGGACGUGAACCUGUUCAUCUCUGGCUCCCCAGCUUCGCCUCUGGGGUGCGUGGCAGGCGCUCCACAGCCAUCCUGAGUGCUCUGGGGUGGGAAGUCUCUAGGGGGAGUGGACAGUGCAUGGCCAGGACGUUCCUGUCCGACGUUCCACACUGGUGUGUGGGCGUCUCUGCCCUGUUUCCUCCGUCCGUGCAUGUGUGGCGUUUCCUCCGUUCGUGCAUCUGUGGCCUGUUUUCUCCGUGUGUGCCUCUGUGGCACGUUUCCUCCAUCCAUGCGUCUGUGGUGUUUCUUCCAUCCGUGUGUCAGUGGCAUUUCUUUCGUCCCUGCGUCUGUGGCACUUUUCCUCCCUCCAUGCGUCUGUGGCGCUUUUCUUCCCUCCGUGCGUCUGUGGUGUUUCCUCCGUCCGUGCGUCUGUGGUGUUUUCUCCGUCUGUGGAUCUGUGGCGUUUCCUCUGUGAGUCUGUGGCCUGUUUUCUCCGUCCACGCUGAAGGCCGUCACUUCUCUCUAGUCACCACUUACUGAUCGCUCCCUGUUGGGGUCCGUGCCGGGGGUGGUGGAGAAUGAAAGAACACACAAAAGACAAAGACACACAGAGAACAUGGCGGCCGCGCUCAGAGCCUCCGCCUCACUUUAUUUAUACUCCAUAAACCCCACGUCAGCAGAAAGAAUGCAAUGCAAAACAAACUUUCUUUUCCCAGAUGUAACCUUCUACUCAGUUCUUUGUUUCUAUGCUCUUCCUUAUCUGCCCGCCUUCUUGGCGCCUACGGGAGUUCAUUAAAAGUUCAAUUGGAGAUACUGUCCUUGAGCCCUAUCUAUUCUCAGCAUACUGCUUUCAAAGGCCCCUGCAGCUCCCUGUGUGCUGAGCCUGUGUCAGGCGUGUGGCGUGUGUCACCUGUGUGGCAGGGGUUUGCGUGACACACAGGGACACACGCUUGGGGAGCUGCAGUGAUGGGGUCAUAGCCACGCAGCUCAGCCCUCGGCCUGAGGGUCUUGGUGCCCACCCAGCUCUUCCCGAAGCAGCCUCAGGGCAGAUCCCAGCUCUGCUUUCUCUCCUCGAGAUACCUCAUGAAGUAAACUAAGCAAAUCGAAAGUAGGAAACAGUUGUGAAAUGAGGCCUGGUUUCAGGUGUGUGUGGUCAUUUCUCUUUACAUGUUUACUUCACAUACCCCAAAUGAUAUACUUUCCAGCUGGUAUAACAAUUAAUUACCAGCCAUUACUGGUACAAAAUUCCAGGAAGGAUAUUUGAGGAGGGCAUAGUCUCAAAAACAUGCUUAAUUUUCACAGUUGUGAUUUGCAUGAUAAAGCUGUCAGGACUGUGACCUUCUUUUGUUAUCUUAUUUUUAUUUUUAGAUCCUUGGGAGGAAGUUAUUUAGUGAUUACUUAUAAUUGUGAAAAUAAUGUAAUGAUUACAGAAUCUCAUUAGAAUAAAUAUUAUAUUUUCUGUUCCUUAUGUCAAUGAAAUCAUCUUAAUCCAGGCCGAUGUUGGCAGGAAUUGUCACGUUUAAAAUGGGCCCUCGGAAGAUGGUGUGUUGGGGGCAGGUGCCUGCUGUGAAACUUUGAUAACUUUGGGAGAGAACUUUUUCUUUGGAGCAAGACCCCUCUCAAUAAACUUUCAGUAGCCUGAGUAUCAUCUGUUGUGUGAACUAUUUGUGGAAAAUGUUCAGCAUUUUUCCUUGGAUUUUGACUGAUCUUUCUCCACCUGCCAGUUUCUUCUCAGUUUGCCAUGUCUGUACCCUCACCAACCCGUUCCAGCCCUGGUUACGUGUAAAGUAUUUGAAGCAGAGCUCUGCAGAUGAGAGAGUGUGUGUCACCCCCCGAGUUCCCUUCCUGGCCUCUGAGUGUCGGUUGUGUUUUGUUCCGAGGGACGACUCUGAGGCUCCUGGCCCCUGUUUUGGAGCACCCCACAGCAAAGUGGGUGUAAAAUGAAAAAUGGGUUUAUGCUGUAUUAUUAUAAUUCAUAGAGUAGAUGAUAAAAAUGCUUGAAUCUGAACAGCAGCUGAAAAUGAGGACAUGGUACCAGUUUGAAUGUUGGACGACUUUCUUGAAAAAAGCUUUCAUCAAAUUUA